GUUCGAGGGCUACUUAAAGAUGGUAA
rnacentral:sRNA from 1 species